rnacentral:lncRNA from 1 species
AUGUUUAAAAUUCAUCCGACAUGGGUUACAGGGCAGUUAUGAUUGGGUCUUGGGGGUGGUCUCUAGUCCUGAUUAGACUUGACGAACCCAACACAACUAGGCCCUGGUUUGGGUUGUGUCAGGUUAGGACUAGAUUUGAGAAGGCACAGGGCCAAUGGGAGGCUACACUGAGUACUAUACUAACUGAGCUACGUGCCAACUUGCAGACACGUCUAUAUGAGUUUGAGAGAUAGGUUAUAGCCUGACAUAUAGAGACUCCUACACCAGAUCUAGCAUAGAUAAGGAAGGAGUUUGAUGUGUUAUGAGCUGAGGUACGUUCUCUCAUCGAGAGCCGUAUGUUAGCCACUACCUUAGUUAUACCCCAAGUGGUCUAGCUAUUACCUAUACGUGCAUUGAGAUAUUUUUAUUUUCUCACGGAGGGUGAUGAAGACGUCCCAGUAGUUGGGGCCAAGAAAGAUCUCAUAGAUGACUCGUCGGACCUUGAUUUACCAUAUGACUAAGCCAUUAAAAAUACUAGGGAUGAUUUAAUGUAGUCUACAUUCGCCGACAGGCAGAGGUGUGCUUCUAUAGCAAGAGGCUCAUCAUUCAGCAGUACAUCGCCACCACUACCGCCUCCACAAGUUGAUAUGCCCCCAUCUUGGGAUGCUUUUAAUUUGGGCGCCUAGUGCAUCCCAGGUAUAUUCUCAGCUCCCUUUGUUUUAUUUUUUUCUAGUGCGUUGAGGACAGUGUAUAGUUAUUCAUUUGGGGUGGGCAUACCAUUUUGCUACGGGUUUUCUUAUCGUGCUUCUUUUCCCAUUGGCCGCGAUAUGGUUGUAGAACCAGCAUGUUUAGGAUAAUUUUGUGUUGUACUGUAUUUUUCUUCAUAUUGUGUUAUUUUUGUGUAGUUAGGAGAUUUUAAGUAUUUAGGGCAGUGGUCAUGUUUUGACUUAUUUGUGAUACCCCUCCAAAAUUUGUGUUUUAGAACUAUGUGAAUGUAUAUAUGUGUUAACUUUAUGGAUCUUGUUAUGGCAUUAGGAUUAGGGACAGGAUAAUAACUUUAGAAAUUACAUGAACUAGAUAGGUAGUAGUUGGUAAUAUUGACUCUAUGCUAUGUGUGUGUGAGAUACUACCUAGUUCCCCUUGUGUGUCAAUUUCAGAACUUGCUUGAUUAUUUUUGCCUAGUUUGAAGGAUAGUCGGUUAGGAAAGGAUCAUAGGUAAUUUUUUAUUUUAGUUCACAAUUAUCCUAAAUAACCUUUCAUAUGUGAAUUAUAUCCCUUGAUCCUUAUUUUGAGCCUUGUAGACUAUUUUUCUUGUUUCAUUGUUCACCUUUCCAUUUAUAGUACAAUGAACUUGUUUUGGCUCUGGUCCUCCUUGGACAUUAUGCACCUCAUCUCAGGUAAAAUGCCUAAGUUGAGAGUGGCUAUCGUAGGGGUGCAUAGUGUAAAAUGGGAAUGAAGAAAGGUAAAAUAAUUAAAAAAAAGUUAGUAAGGUUGAGUGUGGUAGAAAAAGAAAAGAAAAAAAGAGUAGAAGAAAAGAAAAAAAAAGUAGAAGAAAAGAAAAAAAUUGUAAAAAGAAAAAAUAAAAAGAAUGAAUAAAAUAUUACACCCAACUUGAAUGUGCAGUAACGAAUAAAAAGUAAGAAAUAAGGAUGGAAUAAAAAUGAAAUUGGCUAGUAAGUUAGACCCCAAGGUUAGUGUAGUGCCAAGGAGGAUUAGUCACUUGAUAUGUCCAUAUCUACCAUACUAGCCCUCAAGCCUACAUUACUAGCUGAGAAAAGUCUUAUAGUGAUCCUAACUUGACUAUCUAAAUGCUAAGGUAAAGAAAAUAAAGGCAAGCCUAUGGUAUUUUACAUGAAUUGAUUGGAACUUCUUUUUAAGUGUGAGUGUCUCUUGACCAUCUCUGCAUUGACAUGCAUGAUUUCAUAUGAUUGAGUAAGAGAUCCUUGUUGUGAGGGCGCUUGAUUCAUAUCGCUAGAUAUUUUCUUGUUUUGGAUAGUGUAACUUGUAUAUAUAUGAGUGAUUGUUUGUUGCUAAUGUAAUUGUCAUACCUUGAUCCCAUUGUAUCACAUUGUUGUGCUUAAUAUUUAUACAUAGUUGGUUUUGAAAAAUAAGAUUGGAGGAGGAUGUUGUGUUUUGAGUUUAAGUGUUGAUUGAUUGCCUUGAAUCACAAAUAUAGCACCUUCGAUGCUUAAAACUAGAAAAAAAUGUAAGUUUCUGCAGUUAUUUUAUUAGAUAUGAUGCCUUUUGGAUAUGUUUUGCAGGAAAUCAUGUUUUGGAAGAUAAGUUCGUGAAAAAAGGUGAAAAAAGGUGGUUUGGCUAGUUUUGGCGAAAUUAUAGAUAUUCGGGAUGUUUUCUAGCUUGUUCAUGAUCAAAGCAUGUUCGGGAAUUAAAGAAGAGCUGAUAAGAUGACUCUUGACACUUACCAAGUCAACAUGUGUCUGCAAGUAGGACCGACGGACCGCAUGUAGGCAAAGAAACUACCAAAAGUCCGAAAUCCCGAUAGCUAAACUUAAUAUUAUUAUAAUAACCCACCAAACUAGAAAUGAUUACGAAGCAAAUCCAAUAAGAACAAAGAAAUGGGAGAAAAGGUGUCUACCUCCUUUUUAUCACGUUUUAUAAUUCUAUUUAUAUAUAUUAUUAUUAUGUGUACAUGUA